CCAGCAGCCCGCGGUAAUACGUAGGGUGCGAGCGUUAAUCGGAAUUACUGGGCGUAAAGCGUGCGCAGGCGGUUAUACAAGACAGGCGUGAAAUCCCCGGGCUUAACCUGGGAAUGGCGCCUGUGACUGUAUAGCUAGAGUGUGUCAGAGGGGGGUAGAAUUCCACGUGUAGCAGUGAAAUGCGUAGAUAUGUGGAGGAAUACCAAUGGCGAAGGCAGCCCCCUGGGAUAACACUGACGCUCAUGCACGAAAGCGUGGGGAGCAAACAGGAUUAGAUACCCUGGUAGUCCACGCCCUAAACGAUGCUGACUAGUUGUUCGGGAUUUACAUCCUGAGUAACGUAGCUAACGCGUGAAGUCAGCCGCCUGGGGAGUACGGUCGCAAGAUUAAAACUCAAAGGAAUUGACGG
rnacentral:rRNA from 1 species